AUUGAACGCUGGCGGCAGGCCUAACACAUGCAAGUCGAACGGUAGCACAGAGAGCUUGCUCUCGGGUGACGAGUGGCGGACGGGUGAGUAAUGUCUGGGAAACUGCCUGAUGGAGGGGGAUAACUACUGGAAACGGUAGCUAAUACCGCAUAACGUCGCAAGACCAAAGAGGGGGCUCUUCGGGCCUCUUGCAAUCAGAUGUGCCCAGAUGGGAUUAGCUAGUAGGUGGGGUAACGGCUCACCUAGGCGACGAUCCCUAGCUGGUCUGAGAGGAUGACCAGCCACACUGGAACUGAGACACGGUCCAGACUCCUACGGGAGGCAGCAGUGGGGAAUAUUGCACAAUGGGCGCAAGCCUGAUGCAGCCAUGCCGCGUGUAUGAAGAAGGCCUUCGGGUUGUAAAGUACUUUCAGCGGGGAGGAAGGUGUUGUGGUUAACAACCGCAGCAAUUGACGUUACCCGCAGAAGAAGCACCGGCUAACCCCGUGCCAGCCGCCGCGGUAA
rnacentral:rRNA from 1 species